AGGGUUUGAUCAUGGCUCAGAACGAACGCUGGCGGCAGGCCUAAAACAUGCAAGUCGAGCGCCCUAGCAAUAGGGAGCGGCGCACGGGUGAGUAACACGUGGGAAUAUGCCUUUUGGUACGGAAUAGCUUCGGGAAACUGGAAUUAAUACCGUAUGGUCCCUUCGGGGUAAAGAUUUGCCGCAUUGAGAGUGGUCCAUGCUAGAUUAGCUAGUUGGUGAGGUAAUGGCUCACCAAGGCAACGAUCUAUAGCGGGUCUGAGAGGAUGAUCCGCCACACUGGUACUGAGACACGGACCAGACUCCUACGGGAGGCAGCAGUGGGGAAUAUUGCGCAAUGGGGGCAACCCUGACGCAGCAAUGCCGCGUGAGUGAUGAAGGUUUUAGGAUUGUAAAGCUCUUUCAGCAGGGAAGAUAAUGACGGUACCUGCAGAAGAAGUCCCGGCUAACUCCGUGCCAGCAGCCGCGGUAAUACGGAGGGGGCGAGCGUUAUUCGGAUUUACUGGGCGUAAAGGGUACGUAGGCGGUUUAAUAAGUUAGAAGUGAAAGCCCAGGGCUCAACCUUGGAAUUGCUUUUAAAACUAUUAAACUCGAAUUCAGGAGAGGACAGCGGAAUUCUCAGUGUAGCAGUGAAAUGCGUAGAUAUUGAGAGGAACACCAGUUGCGUAGGCGGCUGUCUGGACUGACAUUGACGCUGAGGUACGAAAGCGUGGGGAGCAAACAGGAUUAGAUACCCUGGUAGUCCACGCCGUAAACGAUGUGUGCUUUGUUGUCGGGGGUUCAGCCUUCGGUGACGGAGCUAACGCGUUAAGCACACCGCCUGGGAAGUACGGUCGCAAGACUAAAACUCAAAGGAAUUGACGGGGACCCGCACAAGCGGUGGAGUAUGUGGUUUAAUUCGUCGAUACGCGGAAAACCUUACCAGGGCUUGACAUACCAAUUAAGAGAACCAGAGAUGGAUCUUGUCAGUUCGGCUGGAUUGGAUACAGGUGCUGCACGGCUGUCGUCAGCUCGUGUCGUGAGAUGUUGGGUUAAGUCCCGCAACGAGCGCAACCCCUAUCAUCAGUUGCCAACAGGUAAUGCUGGGAACUCUGAUGAGACUGCCGGUGAUAAGCCGGAGGAAGGCGGGGAUGACGUCAAGUCAUCAUGGCCCUUACGCCCUGGGCUACACACGUACUACAAUGGCUACUACAGUGGGCAGCAAGCCAGCAAUGGCAAGCAAAUCUCUAAAAGCCACCUCAGUUCGGAUUGUUCUCUGCAACUAGAGAGAAUGAAGUCGGAAUCGCUAGUAAUCGUGGAUCAGCAUGCCACGGUGAAUACGUUCACGGGUCUUGUACACACCGCCCGUCAAGUGAUGGGAAUUGGUUCCACCUGAAGCCGGGGCGCUGACCGCAAGGAAGCAGCCGACCACGGUGGGAUCAGUGACUGGCACUAAGUCAUAACAAGGUAACCGUA
rnacentral:rRNA from 1 species